rnacentral:rRNA from 1 species
AACCCUUACCGUUAGUUACCAUCAGGUUAAGCUGGGGACUCUAGCGGGACUGCCACCGUAAGGUGAGAGGAAGUGGGGAUGACGUCAAAUCAGCACGGCCCUUAUGUCCAGGGCUACACACGUGUUACAAUGGCCAGUACAAAGGGCAGCUACCGGGUGACCGGAUGCUAAUCUCUAAAGCUGGUCUCAGUUCGGAUCGAAGUCUGCAACCCGACUUCGUGAAGCUGGAUUCGCUAGUAAUCGCGCAUCAGCCAUGGCGCGGUGAAUACGUUCCCGGGCCUU